UGGGGAAUAUUGCACAAUGGACGGAAGUUUGAUGCAGCGACGCCGCGUGGAGGGUGUAGGUCUUCGGGUUGUGAACUCCUUUUUCUCGCGAAAAAGGCACAGCUUUGGCUGUGUUGAUGGUAGUGGGGGAAGAAGCGCCGGCUAACUACGUGCCAGCAGCCGCGGUAAUACGUAGGGCGCGAGCGUUGUCCGGAUUUAUUGGGCGUAAAGAGCUCGUAGGCGGUUCGUCGUGUCUGUCGUGAAAGCCAGCAGCUUAACUGUGGGUCUGCGGUGGAUACGGGCGGGCUUGAGUGCGGUAGGGGUGGCUGGAAUUCCUGGUGUAGCGGUGGAAUGCGCAGAUAUCAGGAGGAACACCGAUGGCGAAGGCAGGUCACUGGGCCGUUACUGACACUGAGGAGCGAAAGCGUGGGGAGCGAACAGG
rnacentral:rRNA from 1 species